rnacentral:rRNA from 1 species
AUGAAGCCCUCCAUCUCCAUCUCCAUCUCCAUGGAGGAAGCUGGCGGCUUGGAUGCUGCAAGCCUGGCGGAGGCGCUGCGGCUGGUCCUCUCGGCGUUUCGGGCCAUGGAGGGACUGGCCGCCGAGAUCCACUCCUGCCACAGGGCCCGUCGGAAAUGGGAGCUCACGAGGUGCCGUUCCAAGGUCGCCGACCCCGUGCUGGACCUUCUCGUCGCCCAUUUGCUCCAGAUCUGGAGCAUCUGUGCCGGCGCUUACCCGCAGCGUGCCGGCGACAAGGCGCUGGCUCUGCAGGCCAGGGACGCCGUCCACUUCAUCCAGCUCCUGCAGGACAAGGUCCAGUACGGUAAAUUUCAGCCCAGCUCCCUGGUCCAGAUCCUUGCCCAUGGACCCAAGCUCCUUUCCGCUCUGAGGUGGUGUGGUUGCAGCCGCCUUCUUGUUGCACUUUUUGCGUCCAAGCCGACCCACAGCUUCACGGGGGGCAUCAAGGCGGUGAAUCAAGAAACUCGCAAGAUUGGCGACCUGCUCUGCACUUUGCCACCGCAGCCGAUGCUGCCUGAUUCAGGCAGGCAAGUCCUUCAGGCGGGGGUGUCUGUUGGGCGCGACAAGGACAGGGAUGACGUCGUGCGGAUGCUCGUCAAGCUGUGCGCCAAGGUUCCUGCACCUCACAUGAUGGUUUCCAUUGUUGGCACCGCAGGAAUUGGGAAGACCACGCUCGCUCAGAUGGUAUUCAAUGAUACAAGAGUUGCCAAGCAUUUUGAUGUCAGAUGUUGGGUCUCAGUUUCCACUAGUUCCAACAGAAUGGACCUGGCAGCGGAGAUCUUAAGGUCAGCCCAGCCAGCUUGGGAUGCAUCCGAUGAGAAGAUGGCGGAUUUCCAAAUGCUUCAGUCCGAGCUCCGUCGACUUGUUACCUCCAAGAGGUAUCUCAUUGUUAUUGAUGAUAUCUGUAAUGGCAUGGACGAUACCUGGCUGGACAUGAUGGCUCCUCUACAGUCGGCAGGUAUUGGUAGCAGAAUUCUGGCAACUUCUCGCAUGAACACCGUGCCUCACUUCCUCGGUGCAUCGCAUCUAUACCCUGUAAAUCCGCUGAAUAGCGACGAUUGCUGGGCCAUCCUCAAGGAACAUGCUUUUCCAAGUGGUCGCGACAAUGCCUGUCCAGAUCUUCACCCGAUAGGGAAGCAGAUUGCUGCAAAAAUCAAUGGGUCACCUCUGGCUGCCAAGCUGGUGGGAGGUUUGCUGGGAGAUACAAGGAGCAAAAAUCACUGGAUGAAGAUCAUGAAAACAGGAUUACAAGACAAUGCUCUUCUCCCUGCCCUGCGCUUGAGCUAUAAGUACCUACCGGUACACCUCAAGCGGUGCUUCGCAUAUUGCAGUCUGUUUCCACAGAACUAUAAGUUUGAUCCAACAUAG